AUAUGUUUUACUAUCAUUAUGACAUAUGAGUUAUUUAUGUUAGAGUUCGUAUUCAGUUUACUAGUGACUGAUUUAGGGACGAAAUGUACAAAUCCUCUACAAUAGCAUAAAAGCAAAGAACGAAUCUGUAGACAUCCAAAUGCAAAAAUACCACUACACUAAGUGCUACACGUUUAAACUUGUCUCUCAAAUCAACCCAUGGACAAAUCCCAAUCCAAAUAGGUAAAAACAUAAUACCCUGCACGAUCCCAUCCCAAAAAUCACCAUCAUUGGCUACUCCUCCAGCUAACAACGCCCCCUGUAUGUCAGAGAUUAUUGUUAUACAUAUCUAAAGGAAAAGAGAAAAUGGAAGACAACCACAUGUUGACGGAUCUUGCCGGAUCUGAUGAAAGAUUGUCAGAACUUAACGGAUCUUGACAACCACUAAUCACAGCUCGACUGACGGAUGAUUACUCCUCAAACCAUUUGCUUCGAUUUGUCUCCAUGAAUAUUCCUCCUCAACACCAUUUGCUCGUAUUCGAAAUAUAUAAGUAAAACCAGAUCUCAAUAUAAAAAGGGAUCGAAAAAAAGGAAGAAAGGAUGGUGAUGGUAGUGGUGGCGAUACAUACUUGCUUGCAUGUGGUGGUGGCUGCAGUGAUAAUGCACUAGUGCUUCCAUUUCUUGCUUUGCCAGCUGUGGCUGUGCUGAUGGAGCUUAACGAGGCGGAGGAGGUGAUAACGGAGGACUGAGACUGAUUAGGUUUAGAUUUCUUGACGGCGGCAGCAAACAUGGAGGUGGGAUGAACUUAGAGAGAUGAUU
rnacentral:lncRNA from 1 species